CCUUCGAUGUCGGCUCUUCCUAUCAUUGUGAAGCAGAAUCCACCAAGCGUUGGAUUGUUCACCCACUAAUAGGGAACGUGAGCUUGGUUUAGUCCGUCGCGAGACAGGUU
rnacentral:rRNA from 1 species